rnacentral:rRNA from 1 species
GACCCCGCACAAGCGGUGGAUCAUGUUGUUUAAUUCGAUGAUACGCGAAGAACCUUACCAGGUCUUGACAUCCCCCGCGAUGCUUUAGAGAUAAAGCGGAGGUAUUCGGGGAGACAGGUGGUGCAUGGUUGUCGUCAGCUCGUGUCGUGAGAUGUUGGGUUAAGUCCCGCAACGAGCGCAACCCCUAUUGCUAGUUACCAUCAUUAAGUUGGGGACUCUAGCGAGACUGCCAGUGAUAAACUGGAGGAAGGUGGGGAUGACGUCAAAUCAUCAUGCCCCUUAUGACCUGGGCUACAAACGUGAUACAAUGGCUGGAACAAAGGGAUGCGAAGCAGUGAUGUGGAGCGAAACCCAAAAAUACAGUCUCAGUUCGGAUUGAAGUCUGCAACUCGACUUCAUGAAGUCGGAAUCGCUAGUAAUCGCGGAUCAGAACGCCGCGGUGAAUACGUUCUCGGGGUUU